rnacentral:misc_RNA from 1 species
AUGGUGGUAACGGGUGACGG